rnacentral:rRNA from 1 species
AUACGGAGGUGGCGAGCGUUACUCGGAAUUAUUGGGUGUAAAGGGCAAGUAGGCGGCCUAUUAAGUGAGGGGUGAAAUCUUCCGACUCAAUCGGAAAACUGCCUCUCAAACUAAUAGGCUUGAGAUUGGAAGGGGGAAACGGAAUUAGCAGUGUAAGGGUGAAAUCUGUAGAUAUUGCUAAGAACACCGGCGGCGAAGGCGGUUUCCUGGUCCAAUUCUGACGCUGAAUAGCGAAAGCUAGGGUAGCAAACAGAAUUAGAUACUCUGGUAGUCCUAGCUGUAAACGAUGAGUACUAGGUGUUGGCCCUUCGGGGUCAGUGCCGCAGCUAACGCAUUAAGUACUCCACCUGGGGACUACGGCCGCAAGGCUAAA